rnacentral:rRNA from 1 species
UGGGGAAUUUUGGACAAUGGGCGCAAGCCUGAUCCAGCCAUGCCGCGUGUGGGAAGAAGGCCUUCGGGUUGUAAACCACUUUUGUCAGGGAAGAAACGGCCUGAUCUAAUACAUUGGGUUAAUGACGGUACCUGAAGAAUAAGCACCGGCUAACUACGUGCCAGCAGCCGCGGUAAUACGUAGGGUGCGAGCGUUAAUCGGAAUUACUGGGCGUAAAGCGUGCGCAGGCGGCUUUGCAAGACAGAUGUGAAAUCCCCGGGCUCAACCUGGGAACUGCAUUUGUGACUGCAAGGCUAGAGUACGGUAGAGGGGGAUGGAAUUCCGCGUGUAGCAGUGAAAUGCGUAGAUAUGCGGAGGAACACCGAUGGCGAAGGCAAUCCCCUGGACCUGUACUGACGCUCAUGCACGAAAGCGUGGGGAGCAAACAGGAUUAGAUACCCCCGUAGUCCCUGAG